GAUGAACGCUAGCGGCAGGCCUAAUACAUGCAAGUCGAACGGUAAGUUGAAUAGCAAUAUUUGACCUAGAGUGACGUACGGGUGCGUAACACGUAUGCAACCUACCUUGUACAGGAGGAUAGCACGGGGAAACUCGGAUUAACUCUCCAUAAGACCGUGCAGUGGCAUCCGUUCACGAUAAGAACUCCGGUGGUGCAAGUUGGGCAUGCAUCUGAUGAGUUAGUUGGCGUGGUAACGGCCCACCAAGACGAUGAUCAGUAGGGGAACUGCGAGGUUGAUCCCCCACACUGGCACUGAGAUACGGUCCAGACUCCUACGGGAGGCAGCAGUAGGGUAUAUUGGUCAAUGGAUGCAAGUCUGAACCAGCCAUGCCGCGUGCAGGAAGAAGGCCUUCUGGGUUGUAAACUGCUUUUGCCAGGGGAUAAAAAGACCUUGCGAGGUUAAUUGAAGGUACCUGGUGAAUAAGCCACGGCUAACUACGUGCCAGCCGCCGCGGUAAGAC
rnacentral:rRNA from 1 species